UACGUAGGGUGCGAGCGUUGUCCGGAAUUACUGGGCGUAAAGAGCUUGUAGGUGGUUUGUCGCGUUGUCCGUGAAAACUCACAGCUCAACUGUGGGCGUGCGGGCGAUACGGGCAGACUGGAGUACUGCAGGGGAGACUGGAAUUCCUGGUGUAGCGGUGGAAUGCGCAGAUAUCAGGAGGAACACCGGUGGCGAAGGCGGUUCUCUGGGCCUGUACUGACGCUGGAGGAACGAAAGCGUGGGGAGCGAACAGG
rnacentral:rRNA from 1 species